GUCUCAUGGCUGUUAUGGUCUUUAUGAUUGAACAUUUAAUAUGAUCUUGACACUAUUUUCAGCUUGGAGAAUGACUGAUGGUGACUGGGGAGGUGUAUCUUUGCACAUACAGCAGAAUCAGAAGCCUUCACAUCCAAUGUUGUGUUUCAACAAGUCGGUCUGAUGUUGGCAGUGUGUGCACCCUCCUUUCACCUUGAUAUCCUCUACCACCUUGAGCAAGUUGUGGUACUUGAACAUGCACAACCUUCAAGAAAUAGAAGCAUUGGUGUUAUUUCAAAUGACAUCACAACUGCCUUAGAUUAAAACUUGAAGGAAGUGACAUUCCCCGGAAAAGUUGUUCACCAUACCAUCCCAUGUUGGGUUGCCCCCCAGUCCAGAUCAACAGUUUGUUGAGGAAAAGCUUGGAAUUCAGUUGAUGCCUAUUCUUGCUGUGAAGAGGAGCGAUCUGAACUGAAGGGGAGAACAGACUCCAAACAAGAGUAGAUGUGAUGACACCAAGAAAGAGCAGCCACAUAUUACCUCGAGAGGUUAACCGGAAUGCAAAUCAACAGAAUAUGAUGCUGACCAAGUACCAGGAAGAGGUGUCCCCAUCACUGUAGAUGACAAGU